UACAUAAAUAAUAAAAGUCUUACGUUAC
rnacentral:sRNA from 1 species